UACGGGGGGAGCAAGCGUUGUUCGGAUUUACUGGGCGUAAAGGGCGCGUAGGCGGUCAGCACAAGUCAGUUGUGAAAUCUCCGGGCUUAACUCGGAAAGGUCAACUGAUACUGUGCGACUAGAGUGCGGAAGAGGGUCGUGGAAUUCCCAGUGUAGAGGUGAAAUUCGUAGAUAUUGGGAAGAACACCGGUGGCGAAGGCGGCGACCUGGUCCGAUACUGACGCUGAGGCUCGAAAGCGUGGGGAGCAAACAGG
rnacentral:rRNA from 1 species